rnacentral:tRNA from 1 species
ACCCACGUAGCUCAGUUGGUCGAGCAUGGCGCUUGCACCGCCAGGGUUGUGGGUUCGAUUCCCACGGGGGGCC